CACGUAGGAGGCGAACGUUAUCCGGAUUUACUGGGCGUAAAGCGCGUGUAGGUGGUUUGGUAAGUAGGGCGUGAAAGCUCCUGGCUCAACUGGGAGAGGCCGUUCUAUACUGCCGAACUAGAGGAUGGUAGAGGGAGGUGGAAUUCCGGGUGUAGCGGUGGAAUGCGCAGAUAUCCGGAGGAACACCAGUGGCGAAAGCGGCCUCCUGGACCAUUCCUGACACUCAGACGCGAAAGCUAGGGUAGCAAAC
rnacentral:rRNA from 1 species